GUUUGAUCCUGGCUCAGAGCGAACGUUAGCGGCAGGCUUAACACAUGCAAGUCGAGCGAGAAAGGGGCUUCGGCUCCGAGUAAAGCGGCGGACGGGUGCGUAACACGUGGAUAAUCUGCCUCGUGGCGGGGGACAACAGUCCGAAAGGACUGCUAAUACCGCAUGUCAGGUCGGAAACUCCGGUUUCUGACGAAAAAGAGGGCGCCCGCAAGGGGCUCUCACCACGAGAUGAGUCCGCGUCCCAUCAGCUAGUUGGCGGUGUAAUAGACCACCAAGGCUUAGACGGGUAGCUGGUCUGAGAGGAUGACCAGCCACACUGGGACUGAGACACGGCCCAGACUCCUACGGGAGGCAGCAGUGGGGAAUAUUGGACAAUGGGCGAAAGCCUGAUCCAGCCAUGCCGCGUGAGUGAUGAAGGCCUCGGUCGUAAGCUCUGUGGGAGGGACGGAAAGACGUGACCUAAUAACGUCUCGCCUUCGUACGGUACCGUCCUUACGCAAGCACCGGCGUAACUCCG
rnacentral:rRNA from 1 species